rnacentral:lncRNA from 1 species
AGUUCCUACACAGCAAAGCGUGUAGUUGUGUUGCUGAUUUUCCUGUGAAUGAAGCCACAUGAUGGUUUACAAUAAUGGAUACUCAAAAGAGGAAAUUGGCCAACAAAGAUGAAAGCGCAGAAAAAAGUCCAAAAAGUAGUAAUGCUAGAAAUGAACUCCAAAUUGAAUGAGUUACAGAAAAACAGUUCACUGUGAGAAUGUGGCCACUGCAUCAUUCAAGAGGAUAUGCAGCCAGAGGAACUUAGCAAAGGCAAACUUAACAUAAAUGAGGAAGGAAGUGUGGCAAAAAGCAUGCUGUCUCAGAGGAAGCGGUCCUGGCAGAAACUUCACAUUGAAGCAACUCUGGGAAAUUUUUCAUGACGCUGAAAACACAAAGGAUAAAAUGUUGGGAGCUGAUCCAGUCUUAGAAAGGAGAACAAUUCAUCACGUCAGAGAAAAGAUGCUCUCUCCAUGUCGUAAGUUACACAAGAAGAAGCUCUGAGGAGUGAAUCCACAAUACAGUUCAAAGAGAGAUUUAAAUUGCUAAUUUCCCGGCACUGGAAUGUGGGGAAAGAUUGUCACAGAUUUAGCAUGAAAGCCAUGUAUUUAACAUUCCUAUGUAAUAACCCUCUCUUAAAUUGCAUUUUGGUUUGAGAAACAGCAAGAACAAAUUCAGCAUUAGGGGGAAACUUUGCUGUUGAUCUCAAAGGGAAUGAGAAUUUAGGGAGCACCUCUGCCCACCAGGAAGGAGCUUUCUCUUGAGUCUCCCACAUGACUGUGUACUAUGGAUCACAUUGGAAGAACUUCUCUUUUUCCUAAUGCUGUCUGAGUUUUGCAUUUUGGUGCCAGAACAGGGAAGUGAAGGGAUACAUAAGAGACACACAUAAUAGAAAUGUAAAAGACAAGCAAUACCACCAGACGAUAGAUGUAAUUUGGAACAAAGAUAUUUUUAUUUGCCUAAGGCUCAGAAAGUCGUGCCAGGCAAUGCUGGAAGGAAUUGGUUGGCUUCCUCUCCCAAACCACUUCCUCAGUGCUCAUCCUCUUUCAGGUGGACAAGAUAUGGCAUUUUGACUGCUAGCAAAUGUCACUGUGACAUUUCAAUGGCACAAUUGGUGACAAUUCAGCCAAUUUUUGUUGGGCACCCUCCACAUGCCCCAGGGUCUGGGCUCAGCCCUUUACGUACGUGGGCUCAUUGAUUCUUCCAUGUUUUCUAGAAUGUGAUUUUACCCUGGCUGGCACAGAGUAAAUGCCCAAAGAAUGGUAGCUAUUGUUUUUAAUCAUCAUUAUUAAUUUUAUAAAUAACUUCCAUAUCAGGUGAUGGGAAAAUUUCAGACUUUGAUUUGGGCCUUGGAAAACAGGUUCAGUUUCAGUAGAUGGAGGUAAAAGGAGGCAAAGAGCGACCUUACGUAAAUCCAAGGCUGAAGGAAGGAGGCUCUAAGGGGUGUGUGGGUGAUUAGGAGUAAAGUAUCUUGUCUGAAAUGAAGAGUUUCUAUACAGCAUGCUUAUUUGGAGUCAUGCCUAACAAGAUUACUUUGGGUCUAAUUUUGGAAGCUUGGUACUCCAGGGAGCUUGGACAUGAAUUUAAAGACAAUGGGAACUCACAUUUAAGUUUCUGAAACAGCCAGGCGUGGUGGCUCAUGCCUGUAAUCCCAGCACUUCGGGAGGCUGAGGCAGGUGGAUCACCUGAGAUCAGGAGUUUGAGACCAGUCUAACCAACAUGGAGAAACCCCAUCUCUACUUAAAAGAAAAAAAAAAUACAAAAUUAGCCGGGUAUGGUGGUGCAUGCCUGCAAGGGAGGAGACCACCCCUUAUAUUGUCUUAUGCCCAAUUUCUGCCUCCAAAGAAAGAAGAAGUAAAAACUAAAAGUCAGAAAUGGAAUUCACAAGCAGACAGCCUGGCGCCACACUCUGGGUCUGGUAGUUAAAGAUCAACCCCUGACCUAAUUGGUUAUUUGCAUAAGAAAAAGCACUGUGAAGAUCCCUGUCCUGUUCUGUUCCAUUCUAAUUACCGGUACAUGCAGCCCCCAGUCAUGUACCCCCUGCUUGCUCAAUCGAUCACGACCCUCUCACGUGGACCCCGUUAGAGUUGUGAGCCCUUAAAAGGGACAGGAAUUGCUUAUUCAGGGAGCUCGGUUGUUGGAGACAUGAGUCUUGCCGAAGCUCCUGGCCAAAUAAAGCCCUUCCUUCUUUAACUCGGUGUCUGAGGGGUUUUGUCAGUAGCUUGUCCUGCUACACCUGUAAUCCCAGCUACUCGGGAGGCUGAGGUGGGAGAAUUGCUUGAACCCAGGAGGCAGAGGUUACAGUGAGCCGAGAUUAUGCCAUUGCACUCCAGUCUGGGUAACAAGAGCAAAACUCCAUCUCGAAGAAAAAAAAGUUUCUGAAUGGGGAGCUGUUCUGGAGUAUGCAGGAAGGAUUGGGGUGGGAGGAGAACAAGAAGAGGAAUACGUUUUAGCGAUAUUGCAGUUAUUUCAGGUUAAAAGUGAUAGAGUCAGGGGCUGAACCAGGAUAUCGGCCAUAGAAGCAGAAAGGAAGGGGUAUGUGUGAAAGAAAUUAAGAAAGAAGAUGUCAGGCCUCUGAGCCCAAGCUAAGCCAUCAUAUCCCCUGUGACCUGCACGUAUACAUCCAGAUGGCCUGAAGCAACUGAAGAAUCACAAAAGAAGUGAAAAUGGCUGAUUCCUGCCUUAACUGAUGACAUUACCUUGUGAAAUUCCUUCUCCUGGCUCAGAAGCUCCCCUACUGAGCACCUUGUGACACCCCACCCCUGCCUGCCAGAGAACAACCCCCUUUGACUGUAAUUUUCCACUACUUACCCAAAUCCUAUAAAAU